GACGAACGCUGGCGGCGUGCUUAACACAUGCAAGUCGAACGGAAAGGCCUGCUUUCCCUUGUGGAUUGCGGGUACUCGAGUGGCGAACGGGUGAGUAACACGUGAGUGAUCUGCCCCCAACCUGGGUAUAAGCCUGGGAAACUGGGUCUAAUUCCCGAUAGGACUGCAGGGUGGUGCCUGUGGUGGAAAACGAUUUUCUAGUGGUUGGGGAUGAGCUCGCGGCCUAUCAGCUUGGUGGUGGGGUAAUGGCCUACCAAGGCGGCGACGGGUAGCCGGCCUGAGAGGGUGGACGGCCACAGUGGGACUGAGAGACGGCCCAGACUCCUACGGGAGGCAGCAGUGGGGAAUAUUGCACAAUGGGCGGAAGCCUGAUGCAGCGACGCCGCGUGGGGGAUGACGGCCUUCGGGUUGUAAACUCCUUUCGACCGCGAGGAAGCCACCUGGUUGGAAGGGUGGUGACGGUAGUGGUAGAAGAAGCACCGGCUAACUACGUG
rnacentral:rRNA from 1 species